UCAGCGGUAUGGAAAGUGGCAAGAAGCACACCCAAGCAACAAUGACGGUAAGGGAUACCGUGGCAAACCCCGAUUUCAAUCCCUCUCAGAUGUCCAUGGCCCUCAGGACCAAAAGAGAAUGGAAGUCAAAGCCCAAGGAGAGAGAGAGCCAUGUCUUUCUUAGGACACCAUCCCACGAUGUGAAAUGCCAGCUCCCUCUUUGUCUUCUGCCAUGAUUGUAACUUUCCUGAGGCCUCUCCAGAAGCUGAGUAGAUGCUGCCAUGUUUCCUAGCCUGUGGAACUGAGACAGAGAGAAAAAGAGAUUCACUUCAAGCGGCUAGAUGAAAUCAUCUAUCCUAACUUCUUCAGCAAAACAAUGGGGAAGUAAUAUUUCUAAGGUGAGGAAAUGGAUCAGCCACGCUGGAUGGAAGCCUGUCAGCAAUUUGAUUUAUGGGGCCUGUGUCCUAGUUUCCUUCCCCAAACCUUAAACAAAUAGGCUUUCAUUCAAUCAUUACAGUUUUAUUCCUUUGAGGUUUGGGGCUUUUAAACCUCAAGACAUUGAUUAAAUCUCUCUUAGUGGUCACAAGUUGUGUUAUUACCAAUAUCCUUUGCGGAAAUUUCUAAGAUUUGCUCAUCCAAUAGAGACCCGAGAAAGGAAGAAAUCUGAGUAAAAUGACAGGCAAAAUUCUAAGUUUUGCUGACUUCCCGAUUUUUCCAAGGGAAGCUGUUGGUGGCAUGCCAUAUCAAUGCUCCUUUGGGGUCCUCUUGGUUCCCAGGAUAUUUAUUUGGAGUAGGCUGGCCUAGGUUACAAGCACUCUAAAGCUAUGAAACAGAAAUUUAAAAAAUCAAUUUCUCUCAUGCUGAGAAUGAAUGUCAUGACCUUGGUUUAAGGCAGUUCUCUCCAAACAGGCAUCCCACACCUUGAUAAAGGCAGCUGGAGCCAACAGCAUGUAUUUGGUACUGCCAACAACGUGAGUGGAAACAGCUCUCCAUUUCGCACCCAGUUAAAAAGCCUAAAGCCCUUUUCCAGGAAUGACCUUUGAGGAUUCUCACCAGGAUGCUAGCCUUUUACAAUAUAUAAUAAAGGCUUGUCAGAUAACUGUGUAGUACUCUAACAUAUGACCCCAGUGUUGGGAUCACUCAGAGACCAGGGCCUGAGAUUCAAUAUAUCUUGUCGAAGGAAUGCAAAACUUUCAGAAUACAUUAUGGUGAAGUUUGCAAAUCCCACAUACAUAAAUUAGGAAAUCUGUUUGAUAGACUUGAAUGUCACUGAAUCUUUGUCGGGCACCUUGCUAAGUGUGGAUACUGAGCAGGGCUGCUUCUGGAGCAGGAAGAAUAGGCAGCUUUGCAGACAUGUUUGCCUAUCUUUCCAUACCACAGAACUCUGGGGCUACUGAACCUUCACUUCCUCACAUCCUACCAUGUUCACCUCCCAUGUGACUUUGUAAGUACUAUUUCUUCAUCGAGAAGAAGGUGGAAUGGUAGAAGAUAGGAAAGAAAGGAAGGUAAGAAAAUAAGCAGAAGCAAAAAUGCAAUUUUUCCAACAUUACUAAUCAUCAGGGAAAUGCAAUCAAAACUACACUGAGAUAUCAUUUCACUUUAGUUAGAAUGGCUAUUAUUAAAAAAAAAACAAAUGCUGGCAAGGAUGUAGAGAAAAGAGAACUCUUACACACUAUUGGUGGGAAUGUAAAUUGGAAAAUCAAUUACGUAAAACAGCAUGGAAGUUCUUAAAAAAAGCUAAAAAUAAAACUACUAUAUAAUCUAGCAAUUCUACUGGGUAUUUAUUCAAAGUAAAGGAAUCAGUAUGUUGAAGAGAGAUCCACAUUCCUAUGUUUAUUGCAGCACUAUUCACAAGAGCUGAGAUAUGAAAUCAAACUAAAUGUUCAUCAGCAGAUGAAUGGAUAAAGAAAAUAUGGUAUAUAUACACAAUGGAACACUAUUUGGCCAAAAAAAAAAAAAACAAGAAUGAAAUCAUGUCAUUCAUGAAAAAUGGAUGAGGCUGAAGGACAUUAUGUUAAGUGAAAUAAGUCAGGCACAGAAAGAUAAAUACCACAUGUUUUCACUCAUACAUGGAAGCUAAACAAAUUUGAGUUCAUACAAGUAGAAAGUAGAAUUGUGAUUCUUAGGGCUAGGAAGGGUAGUAGGGAGGGGAGGAUAGGAAAAGUUUGGUUAAUGGGUACAAAAUUACAGCUAAAUGGGAGAAAUGACUUAUUGGGUCUUACAGCACUGUAGGAUAAAUAUGCUUAACUAUUAUUUAUUGCAUGUUUUCAAAAAGCUAGAAGACAAGAUUUUGAAUGUAUACAACACAAAUUAUAAAUCUUUGAGGUGAUAGAAAUAAUAAUAUCCUUGAUUUGAUCAUUACACAUUGCAUAUGUAUUGAAAUAUCACUCUAUAUCCCAUAAUUAUGUAAAAUUAUAAUAUGUCAACUAAAAAUAAAAGUAAAAAAAUAAAUACAAUUUAAAAAUAAAACUUUUGGGACUGAUGGGCAUGCUGAUUAUUUUGACUAUGGUGGUGACUUCCCAAAUAUAUAAGUGUCAAAACUUAUAAAAUGUUCACUUAAAUAUGUGCAGUUUAUUAUAUGUCAA